CUUACGCGUGUCAACACAUUGGGGCUAUAGUCCAUUUAAGCGCUGAGGCCCAUCUGUUCUAGCCUUCAAGGUUUACUUUGGGACACUUGAUUAGUUGAUUUCUCUCUUUGCUCUCAAACUUCAACACUUGGUGUUUGUGAUGAAGUAGAAACCAUCACUCGCCUCAAUCUUGAAGCUCCAUUCCAAUGACAUCCAAGUUCGAAUUAGUUGGAGGCUUUCCUGAGCUUAAGAUUCGUCUAAAAUGGAAUGCCAUUGAUUCUUGCCCCUUUCCAUGAACCCUAAUUCCCUCUGCCAUCGAAAGAUACCUAAUUUUCUCUCUCGAUACAUAAGUUCGAAUAGUUUAACAUAUUGUGUUCCAACCUCUAAGUUUGUGCCUGGAAUUGUAGGUCCAAAUUUACAAGGUUUGUAUGCUAGUGUGUUAAGACAUAGUUUACAAGGUUUAGAGGGAAUACUUUUGGAUUCACACAAGCAGAAGUUAAUGAUUUUCAUGUCCUUUGAAACUAAUUAUUUGUCUGGCCUUUAUGCAAUUUGUUUUCAUGAGGUAAAAUUUCUUUUCAAUAUCAUUAUCAGAAGAUUCUACUUGGCCAUACAUGAGGUAAAACUUCAUUACUUGAAGUAUUAAUCUUAUCGUGCCUUUUAAGACUUCUCAUGGUUACUUCUAUUAGUCCAGUGUCAAUGACUUGCUAUAAAUGCCUUUAAAAUUGACCAGUUGUUAGCUUUACAAAUGUGGUUUCUAUUUCUCUCAACUCUUUCUUGUUUUUGAGUCAUCUCAUAUAUGUAGAUGGCUAGAUGCUAAAUAAUGCAUUAAAUGUUGCAAAGGUUGGAUGCCAGAUUUAUACAUAUAAUCGGCCUUACAAGAGGAUCUCCUGAUAUUGUUGUUUUGACAUUUUGUUUAGCUGUAGACCUAGCUACCUGAUGAUUUAUUUACUGAAGCACUUUGGUUAUACUCUGCUUGGUGAUGUUUGUAUCUUCCCUUUGAUGAUUUUAAAUGUGACCCCUCGUGCACACACUUUAUGUAACUUCCAAAGGAAACACAACUUCAAAGUGUCUCUCACUCAUUGAAGACAAAGUCCUAUUCUGAACCAGUGGGUGGAAGAAGGCAGAGAAGUCACCAAACUUCAGCUCGAAGAUCUCGUUUAUCGCCUCACUCAAUCGCGUCCCUUCUCACAUGCCCUGUUACUCUGUCCAGUCAUCCUCAUUGUUAUGUGAAAUGAUUUGUAACUUUUGAUUAUUUUGUUUAAAUAUUCAUCCUCAUUAUUUUGUGAAAUGAUUUGUAACUUUUGAUUAUUUUGUUUGAAUAUUCAUCCUCAUUAUUUUGUGAAAUAAUUUGUAUCUUUUAA